rnacentral:lncRNA from 1 species
ACCGCGGGGAAGCUGGGAACGCUCACGGUCCCUGGGGAGUUCAGGCCCAGACUGACAGCAGGAAGCCCCGCCCUGACGGGCUCCGCGGGCAGGCGGGGCGCGGCCGCGGGGCUGGGGGGAGGUGGUCGGUGACGGGUAUGGCGGCCGCUGCAGGCCCAGGAGAGGACAACGAGUUGGGCCCCGCCUAACUCGCUGUGUGGUUCUUUUCCAGUGCUGGCCCACUGGUGUUGGUGUUUUAAGCUUAGACGGCCCUUUGCAUGGACGCGAACGUUAAUCAAAGAGCUUUGCUUCGUGAGACCCUGCAGGGAAGGCACGUGAUGUUUUUGCUGUGAUCAUUCUAGAUCAAAACAAGAAGGCAAUCGUUAGCCAGAGAAUUAAGCUCACUUGUCAGAGAGCAGAAAUCACCAAUGUUCCAAUAUGGGAAGGAACUUGCUUUCACCAUCUGUAGGCUGAUUUACUGAAAGGGAAAACUACACAAACAAGCUGUGACAGAAGAAGGGGUGCAAACCACUAAAAAAGAGUUGGUGAUACCAUGUAGGAGUUAAAAGAAUAAACUGUGUGACGUUGAAGCUUCAUGAUCCCCCAUUGCUCAAAGAAGAAAUUUCUCAUUCUG